AUUGAACGCUGGCGGCAGGCCUAACACAUGCAAGUCGAACGAGUGGCGGACGGGUGAGUAAUGUCUGGGAAACUGCCCGAAGGAGGGGGAUAACUACUGGAAACGGUAGCUAAUAACGCAUACCAGCGGAUGUGCCCAGAUGGGAUUAGCUAGUAGGGGGGGUAACGGCUCACAUAGGCGACGAUCCAUAGCUGGUCUGAGAGGAUGACCAGCCACACUGGAACUGAGACACGGUCCAGACUCCUACGGGAGGCAGCAGUUGGGAAUAUUGCACAAUGGGCGCAAGCCUGAUGCAGCCAUGCCGCGUGUAUGAAGAAGGCCUUCGGGUUGUAAAGUACUUUCAGCGAGGAGGCGUUACUCGCAGAAGAAGCACCGGCUAACUCCGUGCCAGCAGCCGCGGUAAUUC
rnacentral:rRNA from 1 species